AUUGAACGCUGGCGGCAUGCCUAACACAUGCAAGUCGAGCGUGCGGCGGAAGGGUGAGUAAUGUAUGGGGACUGCCCGAUAGAGGGGGAUAACUACUGGAAAAGAUAGCUAAUACCGCAUACUAUCGGAUAACCCAUAUGGGAGUAGCUAGUAGUUGAGGUAAUGGCUCACAUAGGCGACGCUCACUAGCUGGUCUGAGAGGAUGAGCAGCCCCACUGGAACUGAGACACGGCCCAGACUCCUACGGAGGCAGCAGUGGGGAAUAUUGCACAAUGGGGGCAAGCCUGAUGCAGCCAUGCCGAGGGUACGAAGAAGGCCCUAGGGUUGUAAAGUACUUGCAGUCGGGAGGCGUUACCGACAGAAGAAGCACCGGCUAACUCCGUGCCAGCAGCCGCGGUAAUAC
rnacentral:rRNA from 1 species